rnacentral:rRNA from 1 species
CUACGUGCCAGCAGCCGCGGUAAUACGUAGGUCCCGAGCGUUGUCCGGAUUUAUUGGGCGUAAAGCGAGCGCAGGCGGUUAGAUAAGUCUGAAGUUAAAGGCUGUGGCUUAACCAUAGUACGCUUUGGAAACUGUUUAACUUGAGUGCAAGAGGGGAGAGUGGAAUUCCAUGUGUAGCGGUGAAAUGCGUAGAUAUAUGGAGGAACACCGGUGGCGAAAGCGGCUCUCUGGCUUGUAACUGACGCUGAGGCUCGAAAGCGUGGGGAGCAAACAGGAUUAGAUACCCUGGUAGUCCACGCCGUAAACGAUGAGUGCUAGGUGUUAGACCCUUUCCGGGGUUUAGUGCCGCAGCUAACGCAUUAAGCACUCCGCCUGGGGAGUACGACCGCAAGGUUGAAACUCAAAGGAAUUGACGGGGGCCCGCACAAGCGGUGGAGCAUGUGGUUUAAUUCGACGCAACGCGAAGAACCUUACCAAGCCUUGACAU